rnacentral:rRNA from 1 species
GAUGAACGCUGGCGGCGUGCCUAAUACAUGCAAGUCGAGCGAAUAGACGAGGAGCUUGCUCCUUUGACGUUAGCGGCGGACGGGUGAGUAACACGUAGGUAACCUACCUAUAAGACUGGGAUAACUUCGGGAAACCGGAGCUAAUACCGGAUAAUAUUUCGAACCGCAUGGUUCGAUAGCGAAAGAUGGCUUUGCUAUCACUUAUAGAUGGACCUGCGCCGUAUUAGCUAGUUGGUAAGGUAACGGCUUACCAAGGCAACGAUACGUAGCCGACCUGAGAGGGUGAUCGGCCACAUGGGAACUGAGACACGGUCCAGACGCCUACGGGAGGCAGCAGUAGGGAAUCUUCCGCAAUGGGCGAAAGCCUGACGGAGCAACGCCGCGUGAGUGAUGAAGGUCUUCGGAUCGUAAAACUCUGUUAUUAGGGAAGAACAAACGUGUAAGUAACUGUGCACGUCUUGACGGUACCUAAUCAGAAAGCCACGGCUAACUACGUG